AAAGGAAGCUUUAAUGAUAAUGAUGAGGUAUUCCAUUUCAAGUCAUAUGCUACCAGGAAAGUGGAAUUGUGACCUCAGAAGGUUGACCUCCAAUCAAUGAGAUCUCCAAUAAACAAACAGGAGUCUGGAAGUAACCAGCUGUUGGUGGUAUUGGUUCAGCAGCUCAAUGAUAUCAUAUUUGCAAGAUGACUGCCCUAGCUUCAGCAAUACCAUCCUUGUCCAAGGCAGGAGGAAUGAGUGCACAUGUGGAUCUUACCUUCACAAGGCAUUUUCAAUUGUGGGGCUCUAACUUUGUUGGAUCUAAUUGCACUUUCACCAACACAGCAGUAUGCAAUGU